rnacentral:rRNA from 1 species
UGGGGAAUAUUGGACAAUGGGCGCAAGCCUGAUCCAGCCAUGCCGCGUGAGUGAUGAAGGCCCUAGGGUUGUAAAGCUCUUUCACCGGUGAAGAUAAUGACGGUAACCGGAGAAGAAGCCCCGGCUAACUUCGUGCCAGCGGCCGCGGUAAUACGAAGGGGGCUAGCGUUGUUCGGAUUUACUGGGCGUAAAGCGCACGUAGGCGGACUAUUAAGUCAGGGGUGAAAUCCCGGGGCUCAACCCCGGAACUGCCUUUGAUACUGGUAGUCUUGAGUACGAGAGAGGGGAGUGGAAGUCCGAGUGUAGAGGUGAAAUUCGUAGAUAUUAGGGGGAACACCAGUGGCGAAGGCGGCUCACUGGCUCGAUACUGACGCUGAGGUGCGAAAGCGUGGGGAGCAAACAGG